CCUACGGGUGGCAGCAGUGAGGAAUAUUGGUCAAUGGACGAGAGUCUGAACCAGCCAAGUAGCGUGAAGGAUGACUGCCCUAUGGGUUGUAAACUUCUUUUAUAUGGGAAUAAAAUGUUCCACGUGUGGGAUUUUGUAUGUACCAUAUGAAUAAGGAUCGGCUAACUCCGUGCCAGCAGCCGCGGUAAUACGGAGGAUCCGAGCGUUAUCCGGAUUUAUUGGGUUUACAGGGAGCGUAGGUGGAUUGUUAAGUCAGUUGUGAAAGUUUGCGGCUCAACCGUAAAAUUGCAGUUGAAACUGGCAGUCUUGAGUACAGUAGAGGUGGGCGGAAUUCGUGGUGUAGCGGUGAAAUGCUUAGAUAUCACGAAGAACUCCGAUUGCGAAGGCAGUUCACUGGACUGCAACUGACACUGAGGCUCGAAAGUGUGGGUAUCAAACAGGAUUAGAUACCCAAGUAGUC
rnacentral:rRNA from 1 species